GGUUGUUGACAGAAGAUAGAGAGCACUGAGGAUGCUAUGCAAACACCCGUCAAUGUUGAUGGUGAGUCACAAUAAAAAGAGAGAAGAGCUAGACCAUCUGCAUCUCCAUUCCUAUGUGCUCUCUAUGCUUCUGUCAUCACC
rnacentral:pre_miRNA from 1 species